GAUGAACGCUGGCGGCGUGCUUAACACAUGCAAGUCGAACGGAAAGGCCCAAGCUUGCUUGGGUACUCGAGUGGCGAACGGGUGAGUAACACGUGGGUGAUCUGCCCUGCACUUCGGGAUAAGCCUGGGAAACUGGGUCUAAUACCGGAUAGGACCACAUUUUGGAUGGUGUGGUGGAAAGUUUUUCGGUGUGGGAUGAGCUCGCGGCCUAUCAGCUUGUUGGUGGGGUAAUGGCCUACCAAGGCGUGGACGGGUAGCCGGCCUGGGAGGGUGUACGGCCCAAUGGGGCUGAGGGAGGGGCCCGAGCCCCCAGGGGGGGAAGGGGGGGGAAAAUUUUCCAACGGGGCCGAAGCAGGGAGGAGGGCCCCCGGGGGGGGGAGGCCGGCUUUCGGGUUGUAAACCCUUUUGGCUAGGAACGAGGGCAAAGGACGGUAACUGGAGAAAAAGGCCCCGGUAAAUACGUG
rnacentral:rRNA from 1 species